CCAAAGAAUGAGUCUGAUCCUGAUAAUAUGAGGUAGAGAGAGACAUUCAAUCAAGGCUGACAAUGGAUGAAAAGAUGGAAAAUAGAAGAGAGGACAUAGCUUUGAUCUACACAUUCUGUAGGAACACUGAUGGAGGAUGGAAACGACAUAAACAAGACAGAAAAUGACAAAAACGUCAUCAACAGGUUAUGUUAACAUGACACUCAUUGCAUAAGUAAUAUAAGUUGUGUUGUUAUAUGCUGUGUUGAUUAAAAGUAUGUUCCCACAAUUGCAAGAGUCAUCAAUGAAAAAACAAAACCAAAAAGGAGAUUUAAAUUCAAACUUUUUUUUAUUAGAGAUCCAGUUUUGUCAUCAUGGGGGUGGACAAGAGAAAAAUGUCAUUUUAGUGGUAACUCCAGACUUAUUUGGUAUUAUUUUUGGUAUUAGCUUUUUAAAAUUUAUUCUCAGGACAAGAACUUUUACAAAACAACUGCAUGUUUUAGUAUUUUAGAUUCUUUGAAAGUUGAUGGGUGGGACGUGAAAUGUCCUCCAAUUCUGGAAUGAUCCAUGUACAUAUUUGUUUUUUGAACAUAUUUUUAUGCAUUUGGUAGCUAAACUGAAACGUUUAGCUUAAAUUUGUUUCCACUGUAAGUCGCUGUUUGAACGUUGAAAGAUAUUAAUGCUGUUUCCUCCUGAGGCUGGUUAAAAUGGCCACAGUGACCAGAACUGAGGAGCAUUUGUGGCUUUGGGAACCUUUUUAAAAUCUGACUGCAGAAAUCGGACAUCCUGCGAGGCAUCAGCUGAAAAAAACUACUGGAAGAAAACACACGAGCAAAUACGAGGUGAUUCAGACAAACAGAGUUGUGCUCCAGAUCUGAUUCACAUCCAGCAGAAGUGUUGGUGUUGAUGCAAUAAAACAGUUUGUUCUUCAUGUAGAGAAGUAAAACCUCUUUAUGUCACAUGGGCACCACCACUGGGGAUAGAUACUGUAUGUUGAAGGUUUUUUAAUGUAUUCACUUCACAGUUUAUAAAAACCCCUAAAAGUGACCACAGAGCCUGAAGCCAUCACUGAAUUUUACCCUUAAUGUCCUAGAUUCCUGGUGUGAGGACGCCGGCAUCCACAGUUUGUUUGAAAUAAAUCAUUGUCACAUGAAUCUGAACCAAAGUCGGUGUUUUACAAACACAACUCUCAGAAUUAUCAGCAGCUUCUGCGCAACAGAUUGGUGAAAAGUUCAGAAUUGUUUUCCUUGUGGAGAUUUUAAAUCACUUUAAAUGUCCUUUAAUGUCCAUAUGAUGCUCAGCUCUAAUGAAAACAGAAGGGAAAUUGGAACAUAUUAUUAUUAAAUACCAAAGAACAGCAGCUCUUAACUUCUUGUUUCACAUAUUUAUGGUGAUCAGUCAAUCACUUGCGUCCGAUGGAAUCGGUGACAUGAAUAAAGUUCUCCAUCCAGUUCCCUCUGUCCAGCAUUGCUGUCAAAAGGUCUUUGCCUUCCAGACCAGUGUCCUCCGAUAGUAUCCGGUUUUCAUACCAACGACCAGCUGCUUCGUUGUGUCUCCACAUGUCCAUCCAGGGCUGGUCUUUGUUGCCUAAUGAUGGUUGACCAGCGUGCAUGUGGACCAUACAGCGACUUGUUGGUGAGGUGUGAUUUCCAGAUGUUUUCUACCAUCCUUAACAUUCUGGUAUAGGUCCCAUCAAUCAUUUUUGAGAGUGUUUUUGUUAGUGGCCAGGAGUCAGAUCCAUAAAACAAGAUAGAUUCCACUGACGCCUUGAAUACUCUCAUUUUGGUUGUUUUAAUUGGUGAUACUCAUAUUUUUGACAGAGAAUUCAGUGUCCCUAAGCUUUACCUACUUUUGUGUCAAUAUCAUGUGCUGUGUUGGCGCCAAAGGUCUGGGUCCUCUUUUUGCAGCUAACCCUUGUAUCUGAGGUCCGUUCUUCUAUCCGCCACCUGAGGAUCCAUGGAUGGGAGUUGUCAUCUCCACACCACUGUGGUUUUUAUGGUGAUAAGCUGCUAAUCAUUCUGAGAGGUACGUUAAUGUGAUACAGAUGUUAGUUUGGGUUCAUGAAAACCCUGUAAAUAAACUGGAUGGCGGCGUUCACCCAGCAGGUGUCGCUGCUGUACAGAGGGGUCCGUCUAAAAAGGCCUUAAUCUUAAAACAAAGGAAUGAACUUUCACACUGUUUGGUAAAUUUUAAUGUUGGAGCUGGCAGUAUUUUCUCUUUUUUUCCUUCUGCAUCAUUGGGUGAAACGUCCAUAACUUUUUAUCAUGUUGUAUUUCAAGGGUCUAAAUGGAAACGAGACUCCUGCUCUUCUUCCUGUAACCUGUGAUGAGAGAGCUCAGCCAAUCACAGGCUUCCCUCUCAGAUCAGGUGGGCAAAUUACAUCAUGGUGCGAUGGGAUGAACACAGGACUUUGACUCAGGACAGCAGCACUGGGAUCCUGUGUGGAACGUUACUGACUUUGAGCUUGAGUCAUUUUAACACAUUUAAAGCGCCUUCCUGGUCAGAGUAGACUGAGGGAGGAGGCCGUGUUUUCAAAUUCUGGUGUUUUCUUCCAGAUUACUGGAAGGUUUAAGCAAAGCCUUUAAUUAUGUCAAAUGAUCAAUUCCACCUCUUAUUAAUAUAUUCCUGUGGAUAAGUAGGUCCAUCACCAAAACUGAAUAUUAGAUUUCUUGGCUUGAGUUUUUCUGCUUAAAAAGCCUUAGACUGUGCACAAAAUCAUUAUUAUUAUUACGACUUUUUGAUUUGUCCCCUUCAAAUACCAUGAUAGGAAUAAAUUCUACUUAAUUUCCACGUAGUUUAGGCAUUUCAAAGGAAUUUCAACGGAACAGAAAAGAGAAUGGCACCUGUACUCCAAAACCACAACUAUGACCUCAUUUUGAAGUAUAUUUGCAGCAUUAAGCUGUUUCUAUUGUGAUUUUUUUAGUAGCCCUGUACUAAGAGAACAUACAAUAUAAAUACACGAAUUAAUAGAUUAAUAUUAUUACAAUAUUUAAUGGAUUAGCUGCACAGUUGAAAGGCUUUUCAAGUGGCAAAAAAAAAAAACUAAAAUUCUCCAAAUAACACGACAGCAUCCCUUAAAUAAAACAAAACAGUGCUUCAAAGUGUAGGGAUGUUAAUCCUGCUGUUUGGAACAUUUUAAGGGGCGACAUCUUUGUAAAGAAAGAUUUUCCUAUAAACCCCCCUUUAUUACAGUCCACUGUUUCGCCGGCUAAACAGAUUAUCUGGAGUCUCCAAACCUCCCCAAACUACAGAAUUUGCUUUCAGGAGGGUUUGGUGUUUAUUUUUCCAGAAUUCUAUUAAAACUAUUGUAACAGAUUACAAUGAAGAUGUAUCGAGUAUUAUUUAUCCCUUUUAAAAUGUUUUUUACCCUUGAAGAACCUCACAAUGCAACAAAGCAGUUUAAAGCACUUUGUAGAUGAAGGUGUUUUAUUUUUUUAAAUACUUUAAAUCUGUGAUCUUAUGAUGUAUUUUACAAGAUUAUCUGCACAGAGCUAAUGAGUGGACGAUUAAACCAUUAUGAUGAAAUAUC